GACCCAACAGCUAGCCAAAACAACCAAAACCAACAAUUAAACAUCUAUAAACCCUAAUACACUCACCCAAAUAAACAAACCAUUUUUCCUCUUUAGUAUGGGAGACAGAAAAAGACCUCUGAGCUAUAGAAAAAGUACCGCAAGGGAAUGCUGAAAAAGAAAUGAAACAACCCAGUAAAGUGAAAAAAAGCAGAGCCUAGCCCUCGUACCUUUUGCAUCAUGAUUUAGCUAGUACUUCCUGAGCAAAAAGAAUUUUAGUUCAGUCCCCCGAAACUAAGUGAGCUACUCCGAGCCAGCCUAUCAUUAGGGCACACCCGUCUCUGUGGCAAAAGAGUGGGAAGAGCUCUGAGUAGAGGUGACAGACCUACCGAACUUAGUUAUAGCUGGUUGCUUGCAAAAUGGAUAGAAGUUUAGCCCUUCACACUUCUCAAAUCUUUUCCAGAACACUCCACCUGAUAAAGAGAAUGUUUAGGAGUUAGUUAAAGGAGGUACAGCUCCUUUAUUUAAAGACACAACUUCCCCAGGAGGAUAAAGAUCAUAAUAACCAAGGGACCUAUGUUUAGGUGGGCCUAAAAGCAGCCACCCUAGCAGAAAGCGUUAAAGCUCAACAUUAAACUCCCCACCAAUACUGAUAAAAUCUCUGACUCCCCUACCAACAGCAAGCCCUCCUAUGCCCCCAUAGAAGAGAUUAUGCUAAUAUGAGUAAUAAGAAAGAAAGACUUUCUCCAAGCACAUGUGUAAAUCGGAACGAACUAACACCGAACAUUAAAGGACCCAACCAAAGAGGGAACUGAAAAUGCUAUAAAAGACAAGAAAAACACUCAACCCAAACCUUUAACCCCACACUGGCGUGCUAACAGGAAAAACUAAAAAAGAAAGAAGGAACUCGGCAAACACAAGCCUCGCCUGUUUACCAAAAACAUCGCCUCUUGUUAUUUAAGUAUAAGAGGUCCCGCCUGCCCUGUGACUCUAGUUUAACGGCCGCGGUAUCUUAACCGUGCAAAGGUAGCGCAAUCACUUGUCUCUUAAAUAGGGACCUGUAUGAAUGGCAUAACGAGGGCUUAGCUGUCUCCUUUCUUAAGUUAAUGAAAUUGACCCCCCCGUGCAGAGGCGGGGAUUUAUCCAUAAGACGAGAAGACCCUAUGGAGCUUUAGGCACAAAGACUGCCCAUGUAAAAACCUCCUAAAAAAGAGAUUAACCUUAUGGACACAGUCUGUAUGCCUUUGGUUGGGGCGACCGCGGGGAAACGAAAAACCCCCAUGUGGAAUGGGGCCACUGGCCCCAAAAAUAAGAGCUCCCGCUCUAACUAGCAGAAUUUCUGACCUUACUGAUCCGGCUUCGGCCGAUUAACGAACCGAGUUACCCUAGGGAUAACAGCGCAAUCCCCUUCUAGAGCCCAUAUCGACAAGGGGGUUUACGACCUCGAUGUUGGAUCAGGAUAUCCUAAUGGUGCAGCCGCUAUUAAGGGUUCGUUUGUUCAACGAUUAAAAUCCUACGUGAUCUGAGUUCAGACCGGAGUAAUCCAGGUCGGUUUCUAUCUAUGACGUAAUUUAUUUCAGUACGAAAGGACCAAAAAGAUGAGGCCCCUGCUCCUAAUAAGCCUCCCCCUCACUUGCUGAUCUCUACUUAAAUAAGCAAGAGGGUACACCUCUAAGCCAAAAAGCAUGGCAU
rnacentral:rRNA from 1 species